CAUCCUAAUAAUUUGGCAUAAAUAGGCCCAUGAAAUAGAUUCAACAGGUCAUGUUCUCCAAAGAAUGGUGUAACAGACCAAAGAAAUCAAAAUCCUACACCCCUGAGGAUGCAGUGGGACGGAUUGAAAUCACCAUGGUGAAUCUUGUCUCCCUGAAAUUGUAGUGGAGCAGAUUGAAGUCACACAUCUCAUCUCCUUAAAGUUACAGAGGAGUAGAUUGAAGUUACAGAUCUUAUCUCCCUGAAGUUGCAGUGGAAUAGAUCGAAGAAUAGCAAACCUUAUCCCCCUGAAGUUGCAGUGGAGCAGGUUAAAGUUACAAGUUUUAUCUCCCUGAAAUUGCAGUGGGGCAGACUGAAAAUAGCAAAUCUUAUUUCCCUGAAGUUGAGUGGAACAGGUUAAAGCUACGAGUUACAAGUCCUAUACCUCUGAAGUUGCAGUGGGUCGGAUCAAAUCCACCAUGGCAAAUCUUAUCUCUCUAAAGUUGCAGUAGAGCAUAUUAAAGUCAUUAACAUUAUCUCUCUAAAGUUGCAUAAAGCAGAUUAAGGCUAUAAAUCCCAUACCUCCGAAGUUGCAGUAGGUCGGAUCAAGUUACCAUGGUGAAUCUUAUCUCCCUGAAGUUGCAGUGGAGCAGAUUGAAAUCACAAACCCCAUCUCCCUGAAGAUGCAGUGGAGCAGGUUGAAAUUACCAAGUCUUAUCUCUUUGAAGUUCCAGCGGAGUAGAUUGAAGCUACAAAUCUCUUCUCCCUGAAAUUGCAUUGGAACAAAUCGUAGCAACAAUUCCUAUACCUCUGAAGAUGUAGAAGAUUGGAACGAGGCUAUUCGAUGAAUAGAAGAAGUCAAGAUUCGGCAAGACUAGGCAAAAUUGGCUCUUUUAAGGUCUUUGCUCUAUUCUCGUUACACGAUAAUAAGCAAAGAGGGGCAGCUGUAAUAGCCAAUUUUGGCCCAAACCAAAAAACCCAAAAUAAACCCACCAAAUAAUAAAAAAUCCAAACUUCAAGUCCUUUUACAACAUAUGUAGCCCAAAAUUAAAACCAGACCCAUUACACAUCAAUUAACCCAAACCCACUACCCAGAUUUUAGCCCAAAACUACCCAAAUCCAAUAACCAAAAAACCCUAGUGGCCCAAAAUGGCCCACUAUCCUAAAUUUUUUUUCCAGCAAGCAGCAACCUAGCCGCAUGCCUUCAACCACCAGCCUCUGCCACUCGCGCCACCACCGCUCGGGGCACCAACCACCGGCCUCACACGCCUCUGACACACCUGCAAAGAGAGAUCCACACGCAAGCGAUACAAACAAUGAAGAAAAUAACAAAAAUGACAGAAAAAUGAAUACAAACAAAAAUAGAUCUCGGAUCCUGCUAUAAAAUCAAAAAUCAAAGCUUUGUAAUUUUUUUACACGCGCAUUUGAAUCAAAGAACAGAACAAAAAUUAAAGGUUGAUUUCUGAUUUUUUUUUCUUUGUUUUCAUUUCGUUUUUUAAUCUCUUUAAAUUUCUUUUUAUUUAUACUACAAAUCUAUUAAACAAAAGGGGCAUAAAAUCAAAAAAGAAGGGGACUUACCCGAAUCUAAGCGACCGUCGUCGGAGACAGCUUCUCCAUUGUCAGAUUCGACCCGAAGAGGUCGUAGGGGGUUCUUUCUUUGGAUCUUCUUAGGUCGAGGAAGCCUUCGCCGUUGAGUUCACUUUAAAAAGAGGUUAAAAACCCAACUUCACGUGGCCCCCCAACCACCGUCUACGGUGAGGACCACGGUGGCCUCAAGGAGCCACGACGACGGUGGCAAUGAGGGUCUCAAAACCCUAGCCGCAAGAAAGAGAGAGAGAGCAAGAAAGAGCUGCAAUUUUUUUAAAAAAAUACUAAGGCUAAAAUGAAAUGAUAAAAAAAUUUUGGGCCUUUAUACAGUUAAGAAACGGCAGCGCUUUUGGGUGUGUGUCCAGGCGCCAAAACGACACCGUUUUGGACCACCCGUGCGCGACCCGACCCGCUACUAAGGGGAUCCGCGCGUUUUUGAGUUAAGGGCUAUUUGCGCCCGUAGUCCCUUCGAUUUUGGGCUUGUUAUUUUAGGCCCCUUUUAUUAUUAUUUUUUUGUAAAUUCAAUUGUUUAAUUCUUUUGGUUUUUUGAUUGAGUCCUUGGCUCUCUGAUGCUUCGAAAACGGGCAUACAUCUUUGAAGUUGGGGAAUAAUUUCAUGCUUAGCCCUUGUUCUUUCAGGCGUGUCUUAUUUUAGGCAUUGCUUCCUUUUUUUGUUUUUUUAGAUAGGGCCCUUAAUUUUAAUCUUUUUUAAUUCGACCCUUAAUCUUAUAACAUUAAACUGUUUUUAUAUUUUACUUAUUAUAUAUACCCUUUUAUUUAUUUAUUUUAAACAGUUUUAUAAUGAUAUUUUAGGUUUUUAUUAAUUCUUUAAAAUUGCUUUACAAGUUCUUUUAACUUAUUUUAUUUAUGUUUUAAUGCUUUCUUGUAUUGUUUAUUAACGUUUUACACAUUAUUUACUUUAGAUAUCUUCGUACAACUUAUUUAUUUUAAACUAUUAUAUAUUUUAAAUUUUUAUGUAUAGUAUCUAAUUCAAACUAUGUUGUAGGUUAUUCAUUUUUUUAUUACUUAUUUAGAGCUGUUUAUUUAUUAUGUGAUUUAAUUUUUUCCUUUUUUAUACAUUAUUCAUUUGGAAUUAUUUUUACAUUAGUUACUUUAAUUCGUUUUAUUUAUUAUCUAUUUUAAACCCUUUUUAUUGAUUUAAAAUAAUUUUAUUAUUAUUUAUUUUAGAUUUGUUUAUGUGUUAUCUAUUUUACACUUUUAUGUAUAUAUAUAUAUGAUCUAUUUUAAAAAUUAUAUAUAUAUGUAUAUAUAUUUUUCUUUUUUGUUUUGUGUAUUAUUGAUAUUAAAUUUGUAAUACCCCAUACCCGUACCUGAGACCGGGAUAGGAUACAAGGCAUUACCGAGAUUUUCAGAAUAAUUUCAAUUAAUUUAUAUUAUUUAGUAUUCAUUUUCAUGUUUCAUGUGACAUCCUUUUCAUAUAUUCAAUUCAAAAUAUCAUAUAAAAUACGAUACAAUACUUAAAUUUUCAUAUUUACAUGCUCAUUUAGGAUAUACGAACCUACCUGACAAAAUUGCAGAAAUACCAAGAUUUAGGGACAUAUUGGUAAUUUACCAUAUUCCCAAAUUUCACCCAAUCUUAAAUUGAUAAUUUCAUUCAAUUUAUUAAUUUAGAUAAUAAAACAAUUCAUUCCCUUCAAUUUAGUCAUUUUCGACAUUUUUACAAAAUUACCCCCUAAAAUUUUACUUUUAUUCAAUUUAGUCCAUGAGCUUAAAACAUGCAAAUUAGCCAUGCUAACUGAAUAUUCAUAUAUAUUUUUCCUCCUCCUUCUCUCCAUUCCACAUCCUUAAUGUAAAUAACACACUUAUAAGUAACAUUAUCUAUAAUUUUUAUUAUUUACUUUUAUAUAUAUUCAAGCUGUCUAUCUAUGUCAUAGUCACUAAAUUAUUUAUAUCUGGAGCUAUAAAACUCAAAAUUAAGAUCUGCUAAUUUUCUAUGAAACUAGACUCAUAUAUCUUCUUACCAUAAAAUUUUCAGAAUUUUUCGUAUAGUCAAUAAGUACAGUUUAUUCUUUAAAGUUAUCCCUGUUCUGCUGUCUGACAGUUUCGACCCUUCUUCACUAAAAAUUAAUUAUUUCACAGUACAAAACUCGGAUAAUAUUCCCGUUGAUUUCUCAUGAAAAUAGACUCAUUAGGGAUUCUAAACAUAUAAAUUUAGGACUCUAAUUAUUUUUAUCAAAUUUUUGGUGAUUUUCCAAAGUCAGAACAGGGGAACCUGAAUUCAUUCUGACCUUGUCUCAUAAAAUUCAUUAUAUCUCAUAAUUUACAAUUCAAUUGCUUAUACCGUUUCUUCUAUAAGAAACUAGACUCAAUAAUAUUUAAUUUCAUAUUUUAUUCAUCCUCUAAUUAAAUUUAUACAAUUUUUUGUGAAUUUUCAAACUUAGACUACUGUUUCUGUCUAAAAUAGUCUUAGUACAAAAUGUUGAUUUUCUACUUUUAAUUUCAAUUUAAUCCUAACUAAAUUCACUUACUUUCUAUCUUAAUUCAUACUUUACUUCUACUCAAUUUGUAACCAAACUUAGACAUAAUUAUCUAUUUUUCAUCAUAAAACCAUAAUUUCGAAAUUCUUUCAAUUUAGUCCUUAAAGCAUAAAACUUAUGAAUCACUUUACAAUUUCAAUCCUUAUUCAUUUCUAACUUGAAUUUCUAUCAAUUUAGCCCUUAAUUCAUCUUUUUGUUCAAUAAGAACAAUGUCUUAUAAUCAAAUAUCUUACAAUAAAUCAACUUAACUUCAUCAAAACCUUGUUCUAAAGUUUCUAAAACAUCAAAAUUAAGUAAAAGAGCUAAAUUUGACAUACCUAUUUAAACCUCAAGCUUCAAACCUUAAUUUUCCCUUUCUCCUUUCUUUUCUCCUUUCUUUCUUUCUUUCCCUGCUUUUCGUUUUGCCUAUUCUAUUUCUAUUUCUAU
rnacentral:lncRNA from 1 species